AAAUAUCAAUGUCAACACAACGAACUAUUAUUUCGCCUUUUACUAAAGAAUACCGUGUGUUUGUUGCAAUUCUAGCAGCAUACACCAUUUUUUGGAGGCUACUUUCACUAUAUAGAAGAU